rnacentral:rRNA from 1 species
GAUGAACGCUAGCGGCAGGCCUAACACAUGCAAGUCGAGGGAGAAGCCUUUCGGGGCAGAAACCGGCGCACGGGUGCGUAACGCGUAUGCAACCUACCUUUCACAGGGGGAUAGCCCGAAGAAAUUUGGAUUAAUACCCCAUAAUAUUGUUGGAUGGCAUCAUUUGACCAUUAAAACUGAGGUGGUGGAAGAUGGGCAUGCGUCCUAUUAGCUAGUUGGAGUGGUAACGGCACCCCAAGGCUACGAUAGGUAGGGGUCCUGAGAGGGAGAUCCCCCACACUGGUACUGAGACAGGGGCCAGACUCCUACGGGAGGCAGCAGUGAGGAAUAUUGGUCAAUGGUCGGAAGACUGAACCAGCCAUGCCGCGUGCAGGAAGAAUGCCUUAUGGGUUGUAAACUGCUUUUAUAUGGGAAGAAUAAAGGUGUACGUGUACAUUGAUGACGGUACCAU